rnacentral:snoRNA from 1 species
UGUUGAUGAUGUGGAUAGUCCCGAAGAAGAGCUUUGAAGCGCUCCCAAGCAUGAUAUAAAUUCUCAUAUGGCUUCUGUUUGAAGCAUACAAUCUCACUGCGCAAUCU